rnacentral:lncRNA from 1 species
AUCUUCUACCAAAAGAAAUUGUACAAAUAUUUUUUUAUUUAUUUUUUUUGAGAGAUAGUUAACACGCUACCCGCUUCGUUUAUUUCAUUUAGAAAUAAACUUAGAUGGAAAUAUGAAUCAACCAGGAUUCGAAUUUAGGACCUCGGGUAUCAACCACCAAGUCCUUUGCCACUUGCUCUAGGGACAGUCAGUAAAUUGUACAAAUAUUCAACUUGUUAAU